AUUUUUUUUAAUUUCUGGCUAUGGCAAUUGGGAUGAACGCUACGCACGUCUUUGACUGAUUAUCGAAGUAUAGCCGAUUGAUAAACAUGCCGCCAAUCAAACUGCAACAUAUAAAAUUCUCGGAAUGCUUCACCCACCUGCUGGGGGUAAGAUUAAUGAGGAAUCAAUAGCCAAUGGCGUCAGGCGUGCCAACGGCCUACACCGCUCCGUGCGCGCGCGCCGCGCGGCCGGCCCACGCGCAGGGCGUGUCAGCUGAUUUGGAAGAUGUACAUUAUCCCAGCAACAGUGUACUCGGCCAUAACUCAUGCGAUCUGGCAGCGCCGAGCAGUAAGGGGUGAGAACGUCUCAAGAGCUUGCUCUUGGCCUAAUACCCGUUCAUAUUUAGAAGAAUGGCGAUCAAUCAUAAGUGCUAUCUGGCUUCUGCUGCUUCAUUAGGAUGCUGGCGUCACCGUCCCUCGACAGAGCAUCGAGCAUACAUGAGCAUGUAACAGAGAGCGGGCGGAGGCGCGCGGCCGCCGCGCCGCCUCUAGAAGAACAGCACAAAUAUCCCGCAGUUCAAAAAUAGUCCGCCGACUCGCCCGCUGCAUACAAAAGUGGCGAGCCGUCCGGCACACAUCUUGGCUUAUCAAAUUUCUCUACCCACACACGCCCGCGCCACACUUGGUUACCUACACGCCGCCGAGCCUUCAUGCGUUAGUAUGUUAGCACUCGCAAGCUAGCGUUUGUUACACUUCCUUGACACUUAAAGCACUGCGACAUCCGAAGCAACACUC